CCGGAUGAUAUCGCGAGAUCAAAGAUUUAUCGCCUGAGGAUGAGCCCGCGUUGGAUUAGGUAGUUGGUGGGGUAAAGGCCUACCAAGCCGACGAUCCAUAGCUGGUCUGAGAGGAUGAUCAGCCACACUGGGACUGAGACACGGCCCAGACUCCUACGGGAGGCAGCAGUGGGGAAUAUUGGACAAUGGGCGAAAGCCUGAUCCAGCAAUGCCGCGUGAGUGAUGAAGGCCCUAGGGUUGUAAAGCUCUUUUACCCGGGAAGAUAAUGACUGUACCGGGAGAAUAAGCCCCGGCUAACUCCGUGCCAGCAGCCGCGGUAAUACGGAGGGGGCUAGCGUUGUUCGGAAUUACUGGGCGUAAAGCGCACGUAGGCGGCUUUGUAAGUCAGAGGUGAAAGCCUGGAGCUCAACUCCAGAACUGCCUUUGAGACUGCAUCGCUUGAAUCCAGGAGAGGUCAGUGGAAUUCCGAGUGUA
rnacentral:rRNA from 1 species